CUGAAAUGCUCUUCUAGCUUCGCUGGUGUUUGAGCUCUCGCACCGCAGACCGUGCAGCGCAACUCAAUAGCAGCGCCACUCUCGCUUGUUGGCUCCUCAUUCCAGCUGCAGCAGCACACGCUCACAGGCUUCAGAAUCCCUCUCAUGAGCCAAAAUGCACCUGACACCAUGCACCUGACAACGACCGGGGCAAUGCAACUGAGAAGAAUGCCUGACCUUUCCUUGAUCUCCUUUCGCCUCGCCCGCUCCACUGGUGCCACCCAAGUGAACGUGUGCCUGUUGCCGUAGGCACAGAUCCCAGCAAUCUCUCCAAGGGGCAACAGUGCUGCAUAAAUAUUCUCGACAAGGUCCUCUGGCCUUGUCCACUUUGCGCUCUUGUUGUCAAUAUCCCAGAA
rnacentral:lncRNA from 1 species